rfam:Schistosoma haematobium scaffold148_25, whole genome shotgun sequence.
AUCCAGCUGACGAGUCUCAAAAAGGACGAAACGUGCGCCCUAGAU